UGAACGCUGGCGGCGUGCCUAACACAUGCAAGUCGAACGGAGAUAGACGCUGACGAGACUCGGUCAAAUCUUGUUAAUCUUAGUGGCGGACGGGUGAGUAACGCGUGGGCAACCUGCCUCAUACUGGGGGAUAGCAGUUGGAAACGACUGAUAAUACCGCAUAAGCGCACGGUACCGCAUGGUACAGUGUGAAAAACUCCGGUGGUAUGAGAUGGGCCCGCGUCAGAUUAGCUAGUUGGUGAGGUAACGGCCCACCAAGGCGACGAUCUGUAGCCGGCCUGAGAGGGCGGACGGCCACAUUGGGACUGAGACACGGCCCAAACUCCUACGGGAGGCAGCAGUGGGGGAUAUUGCACAAUGGAGGGAACUCUGAUGCAGCGACGCCGCCGUGAGUGAAGAAGUAUUUCGGUAUGUAAAGCUCUAUCAGCAGGGAAGAAAGGCCCGUAAGGGAGAUGACGGUACCUGACUAAGAAGCCCCGGCUAACUACGUGCCAGCCGCAGC
rnacentral:rRNA from 1 species